rnacentral:rRNA from 1 species
CAGUCGCCGCGGUAAUACAGAGGGUGCGAGCGUUAAUCGGAUUUACUGGGCGUAAAGCGUGCGUAGGCGGCUUUUUAAGUCGGAUGUGAAAUCCCUGAGCUUAACUUAGGAAUUGCAUUCGAUACUGGGAAGCUAGAGUAUGGGAGAGGAUGGUAGAAUUCCAGGUGUAGCGGUGAAAUGCGUAGAGAUCUGGAGGAAUACCGAUGGCGAAGGCAGCCAUCUGGCCUAAUACUGACGCUGAGGUACGAAAGCAUGGGGAGCAAACAGGAUUAGAUACCCCUGUAGUCCCUGUCUUUUAUAC